rnacentral:rRNA from 1 species
UCCUGGCUCAGAGCGAACGUUAGCGGCGCGCCUAACACAUGCAAGUCGCACGCGAAAGGGGGCAACCCCGAGUAAAGUGGCGCACGGGUGCGUAACACGUAGAUAACCUGCCCUUUGGAGGGGGAUAACGUUCCGAAAGGAGCGGCUAAUACCGCAUACAGCAAUCUGGGGUUCGCUUCGGAUUGGCAAAGGUAGGGACCGGGCAACGGCCUAUCACCAGAGGAGGGGUCUGCGGCCCAUCAGCUAGUUGGGGAGGUAAUGGCUCACCAAGCAAAGACGGUAGCUGGUCUGAGAGGAUGAUCAGCCACACUGGUACUGGAACACGGACCAG